GACGUAGGGCGCGAGCGUUGUCCGGAUUUAUUGGGCGUAAAGAGCUCGUAGGCGGCUUGUCGCGUCGAAUGUGAAAACCCGAGGCUCAACUUCGGGCUUGCAUUCGAUACGGGCAGGCUAGAGUUCGGUAGGGGAGACUGGAAUUCCUGGUGUAGCGGUGAAAUGCGCAGAUAUCAGGAGGAACACCGGUGGCGAAGGCAGCUCGCUGGAACGGUACUGACGCUGAGGCGCGAAAGCGUGGGGAGCGAACAGG
rnacentral:rRNA from 1 species